CUCUGAACGCCCCUGUACCGCCCUUGUCUCUUCCAAGCGGUCAUGAUCUUUUUAGGGAGGCUUCAGCGAUCAAGAUAGCUAGCCGAGCCGAGAUCCAAGAAUGUGGAAGUCUAUUUUAGGAGGAGACGAAGAGCAGCAGCAGCUGGAAGACAACUUGUUGGAUGAACCUGAAGGCCUAUUUUCACUUUCCCCCACGCAGGUCCGAUCACCUGCCUUGUUAUUUAUCUCCAAAUUUAGCACUGCUUAUUCUUACCGGAAAUCCGUGUUGAUUUUCUUUUUCUUGUCGGGUUUUGGACGAACAGAGGGUCUACGCAUUUGCUGCCUGUUUACUAGCUGGCUUGGUUUGUAUGUUCCUGGUAUAUACCGUACCUUCAACUUUAAUUGCCAUGAUAAAUGUUUUCAAGCCCCGGAGCCGGGUGCCAUGAUAAGCUACGCAGUUUUCUUUAGUCGUCUGACAGAGUGCACCGAAUAGAGUUAAUUGCCAUUUUAGUCCCGAAAUUCUCUCUUAAAGUUAGAAAAUGGUGCAAAACUAGUAGCACUUGAACUCAUCGUUUAGCUAGAUAGUAUUGGACUUAAAUUUGUGCAAUGCCAUCUUUUAUUUGUUCAUUUGUGCAUUUGAAGAGCCUGAAUUCCCUGGCGAUAAAAGGAUGCUCACGAUUGGCUAAAGGACUAUCAUAGUUUCCAGUCAUAGUAAUGGUCCCAUUCUUAGACUUUGCCAAGUACGUUGACAUUUUCAUUCAUACUUGGGAAGAGGCUCUAAUUCGAUGCAUAGGAUAAUCCGAUGAUUUAAUUACUCUAUUCCUACAUUACAUUUUGUUAACAUUUUGUAAACCUACAAGUAUGACAUGUGUACUAAAAUCACAUUCGGAAAGCAUAUCUGCAUAUAUAAAAAUGUGUGGGAGAAGAGGAGUUUAAUAAUCACAAAUACAUAAAGUACACCGACUCUCAUAUUGAGAGCAGCAUAACUCUCGGCAGAAUUGCCCUUACAAAAUUUUCCUCUCGCUGUUCUCGACUAAAAAUCAUAACUAGAUACCCUAAUAACAAGACUUGGUAAUUAGGGAACUAACAAGAGAAGAAACUACUGAAUAAUCAUUCUAUACCUUAACCAAAUAAACUACUAGAGUUUCAAUAGACUUGAACUUCUAAUUUAGAAAUAAGAAACAUCAACUAUUAGGAAGUUUGGUUUAAUUAUACCAACAAUAUGAAAUUUUCACUGAUUUCUAUUGUCUCAUUCUUCUUUGCAGUCUAUGAUUGUUUUUGUCAAGCCCAUCAAAUUCGCUUUGCUAUUUACAUUUGGCAACAUGUUAGCUGUUGGAAGGUAGGUUACUGCUUUCCUUGAAUAAACCAGUAGGUAUUAAUUUGUCUAACAAUUUGUACUCAGAUAAGAAGUUGUCGCGAUGCAAUGCACUUUUACCAAAAAAUGCGCCAGGAUUGUUCACAUACGUAAUACAUAUACAUGUAAAACGAACUCUAUAUGUUUCUUCUUGUUGUUCUUUGCGGAGAUUCUUAAUUGGGACGUACAUUGGCAGCACAGCCUUCCUCAUUGGACCUGGGCAGCAAAUAAGGAUGAUGCUUGAUCCUGUACGCAUUUAUGCUACAGCCAUUUAUGUUGGGUGUGUUGUUG
rnacentral:lncRNA from 1 species